UACGUAGGGAGCAAGCGUUGUUCGGAUUUACUGGGCGUAAAGGGCGCGUAGGCGGCAAAUUAAGUCAGCUGUGAAAUCUCCGAGCUUAACUCGGAACGGUCAGCUGAUACUGAUCUGCUAGAGUGCGGAAGGGGCAAUCGGAAUUCUUGGUGUAGCGGUGAAAUGCGUAGAUAUCAAGAGGAACACCUGAGGUGAAGACGGGUUGCUGGGCCGACACUGACGCUGAGUGCGCGAAAGCGUGGGUAGCAAACGGG
rnacentral:rRNA from 1 species